rnacentral:rRNA from 1 species
GACGAACGCUGGCGGCGUGCUUAACACAUGCCAGUCGAACGGAAAGGCCUCUUUCGGGGGGUACUCGAGUGGCGAACGGGUGAGUAACACGUGAGUAACCUGCCCUUGACUUUGGGAUAACUUCAGGAAACUGGGGCUAAUACCGGAUAGGAGCUCCUGCUGCAUGGUGGGGGUUGGAAAGUUUCGGCGGUUGGGGAUGGACUCGCGGCUUAUCAGCUUGUUGGUGGGGUAGUGGCUUACCAAGGCUUUGACGGGUAGCCGGCCUGAGAGGGUGACCGGCAACAUUGGGACUGAGAUACGGCCCAGACUCCUACGGGAGGCAGCAGUGGGGAAUAUUGCACAAUGGGUGGAAGCCUGAUGCAGCAACGCCGUGUGCGGGAUGACGGCCUUCGGGUUGGAAACCGCUUUCGCUCAUGACGAAGCUUUGUGUGACGGUAGUGGGUAAAGAAGCACCGGCUAACUACGUG